rnacentral:rRNA from 1 species
AUUGAACGCUGGCGGCAGGCCUAACACAUGCAAGUCGAGCGGAUGAAGGGAGCUUGCUCCUGGAUUCAGCGGCGGACGGGUGAGUAAUGCCUAGGAAUCUGCCUGGUAGUGGGGGAUAACGUCCGGAAACGGGCGCUAAUACCGCAUACGCCCUGAGGGAGAAAGUGGGGGAUCUUCGGACCUCACGCUAUCAGAUGAGCCUAGGUCGGAUUAGCUAGUUGGUGGGGUAAAGGCCUACCAAGGCGACGAUCCGUAACUGGUCUGAGAGGAUGAUCAGUCACACUGGAACUGAGACACGGUCCAGACUCCUACGGGAGGCAGCAGUGGGGAAUAUUGGACAAUGGGCGAAAGCCUGAUCCAGCCAUGCCGCGUGUGUGAAGAAGGUCUUCGGAUUGUAAAGCACUUUAAGUUGGGAGGAAGGGCAGUAAGUUAAUACCUUGCUGUUGUGACGUUACCAACAGAAUAAGCACCGGCUAACUUCG